CGUAGGGGGCAAGCGUUGUCCGGAUUUAUCGGGCGUAAAGAGCGUGUAGGCGGCCACACAGGUCUGCUGUGAAAACUCGAGGCUCAACCUCGAGCUGUCGGUGGAAACCGUGUGGCUAGAGUCCGGAAGAGGAGAGUGGAAUUCCCGGUGUAGCGGUGAAAUGCGCAGAUAUCGGGAAGAACACCCGUGGCGAAGGCGGCUCUCUGGGACGGUACUGACGCUGAGACGCGAAAGCGUGGGGAGCGAACAGG
rnacentral:rRNA from 1 species